UCCUUUCUUCCUCUUAUUUUAUUCUUCUCCCUUGUCUCUUUCAACGUACAAGCUGUUGCUUUCUCUUCCCUUGAACGUGCAACUUCCAUUUUAGCUCCCCCUUGGACGACAAAGCAGCAACCGAACAGCAAGGUCUCGAGCGUUCCUCCCUCCUCAAGAAAAUCCGAGACUUUGUGUGCUGCUGUGGUGGUCACUCAACGACACCUCUAGCUGUUGUGCCGGGUCCAAAUCAUCGUCAAAAACCUCUAGGGCUGUCCUUGUGUUGUCGUCCGGCCACAAGUGAGGAUCGCCAUUAGUUUCGGUGGUCCCUACAUGGAGGAAGGCCAGGUCGUGUACAGUCGGUCGCAGUAAAGGAGGAAUAGGACUCUCGCUAUCUCCUUCCAAGUGAUGACGGAUUUUCCGUCAAUACUGGAUGUAGGGUGACAGCUCACUCCUGAGAAAUCGAGAAGUAUGGUAUCGUAGUAGUAAACCCCAGUCUUAUAGAUAGAAGCUUAGUUAGUGGGUAAUCGAACAGCUUCACUUUUUGUAUUAGACCUUGGGGUGUUAAACUAGUCUAUAAGUAAUGUGAUGUUGUAAGUGUGGCUUGUGAAAAAUAAUAUCUUACGUUUCUAUCCCA